rnacentral:rRNA from 1 species
GACGAACGCUGGCGGCGUGCCUAAUACAUGCAAGUCGUACGCUUCUUUUUCCACCGGAGCUUGCUCCACCGGAAAAAGAAGAGUGGCGAACGGGUGAGUAACACGUGGGUAACCUGCCCAUCAGAAGGGGAUAACACUUGGAAACAGGUGCUAAUACCGUAUAACAAUCGAAACCGCAUGGUUUUGAUUUGAAAGGCGCUUUCGGGUGUCGCUGAUGGAUGGACCCGCGGUGCAUUAGCUAGUUGGUGAGGUAACGGCUCACCAAGGCCACGAUGCAUAGCCGACCUGAGAGGGUGAUCGGCCACAUUGGGACUGAGACACGGCCCAAACUCCUACGGGAGGCAGCAGUAGGGAAUCUUCGGCAAUGGACGAAAGUCUGACCGAGCAACGCCGCGUGAGUGAAGAAGGUUUUCGG